AACUUUCAACAACGGAUCUCUUGGCUCUCGCAUCGAUGCAGAACGCAGCGAAAUGCGAUAAGUAAUGUGAAUUGCAGAAUUCAGUGAAUCAUCGAAUCUUUGAACGCACCUUGCGCUCCUUGGUAUUCCGAGGAGCAUGCCUGUUUGAGUGUCAUUAAAUUCUCAACCUUCCAACUUUUAUUAGCUUGGUUAGGCUUGGAUGUGGGGGUUGCGGGCUUCAUUAACGAGGUCGGCUCUCCUUAAAUGUAUUAGCGGAACUUUUGUGGACCGUCUAUUGGUGUGAUAAUUAUCUACGCCGUGGAUGUGAAGCAGCUUUAUGAAGUUCAGCUUCUAACCGUCCCUUGACUUGGACAAUUCUUGACAAUUUGACCUCAAAUCAGGUAGGACUACCCGCUGAACUUAAGCAUAUCAAUAAGCGGAGGCU
rnacentral:misc_RNA from 1 species